rnacentral:rRNA from 1 species
CCUACGGAGUGCUGCAGUGAGGAAUAUUGGUCAAUGGUCGGGAGACUGAACCAGCCAAGCCGCGUGCGGGCUGAAGGUACAGAGUAUCGUCAACCUCUUUUGUCAGGGAACCAAGCCGGGGACGCGUCCCCGGAUGAGUGUACCUGAAGAAAAAGCAUCGGCUAACUCCGUGCCAGCAGCCGCGGUAAUACGGGGGAUGCGAGCGUUAUCCGGUUUUAUUGGGUUUAAGGGGUGCGCAGGCGGUCUGUUAAGUCAGCGGUAAAAGCCCGGGGCUCAACCCCGGCCCGCCGUUGAAACUGGCAGUCUCGAGUUGGAGAGAAGUAUGCGGAAUGCGCGGUGUAGCGGUGAAAGGCAUAGAUAUCGCGCAGAACUCCGAUUGCGAAGGCAGCAUGCCGGCUCCACACUGACGCUGAGGCACGAAAGCGUGGGUAUCGAACAGGAUUAGAUACCCCGGUAGUC